rnacentral:rRNA from 1 species
GAUGAACGCUGGCGGCGUGCUUAACACAUGCAAGUCGAACGAAGCAUACGAAUUGGAUUUCUUCGGAAAAAAGAAUCGUAUGACUGAGUGGCGGACGGGUGAGUAACGCGUGGGUAACCUACCUCAUACAGGGGGAUAACAGUUAGAAAUGACUGCUAAUACCGCAUAAGCGCACAGGACCACAUGGUUCGGUGUGAAAAACUCCGGUGGUAUGAGAUGGACCCGCGUCUGAUUAGCUAGUUGGUAAGGUAAUGGCUUACCAAGGCGACGAUCAGUAGCCGACCUGAGAGGGUGAUCGGCCACAUUGGGACUGAGACACGGCCCAAACUCCUACGGGAGGCAGCAGUGGGGAAUAUUGCACAAUGGGGGAAACCCUGAUGCAGCGACGCCGCGUGAAGGAAGACGUGUUUCGGCAUGUAAACUUCUAUCAGCAGGGAAGAAAAUGACGGUACCUGACUAAGAAGCCCCGGCUAACUACGUGCCAGCCGCCGCAGUAA